UACAGAGGAUGCAAGCGUUAUCCGGAAUGAUUGGGCGUAAAGCGUCUGGUAGGUGGCUUUUUAAGUCCGCCGUCAAAUCCCAGGGCUCAACUCUGGACAGGCGGUGGAAACUACCAAGCUGGAGUACGGGUAGGGGCAGAGGGAAUUUCCGGUGGAGCGGUGAAAUGCGUAGAGAUCGGAAAGAACACCAACGGCGAAAGCACUCUGCUGGCCGACACUGACACUGAGAGACGAAAGCUAGGGGAGCGAAUGGG
rnacentral:rRNA from 1 species